ensembl:lncRNA
UGAACAAGGCAUCGAUAAACCAUCAUCUCAUUCUCCUGCCACAGUGACAGUUCUUGGUGAGAUAUUUCACUGCUCUUCUUCUGUCUUAGAUACUAUUACGGCUGUGUUUUUGAUAACUGGAUCAUUUGUCUUUAAACAGAUUCACUUCAGAAACCCUUUAUCAGUGUUAGUGAUGAUGAUGUCCUGCUCAGCAUAUCAUGUGAAAUACCACUUUCAGUCAGAGAUGAUUUCAUCUGUAGUCUCUACACUGAGGAUGAUGUUCUUCUGUAUCAACGUGUCUCUCAUUGGAAUCAAUCUGGAAAUAAUCUUUGUGUGUUUUAUGUAAGUCGUAGUGAACUCUUCCCACGAUCAGUGAACAGCAGACAGCUGUUCUGUGUUUAUUCACUCAAGACUGAACCUGAGAUCAGAUCACCACGCAGUGACACAUACACCUUCAGAGAUCUUCCUCAGGCCAUGUUGAGAGCGUCUGCUUCAGUUAUUCUGGAAACAGACACAGUUGAGCUGAGCUGUAAGAAUACUGAAGAUCUGAAGAUGCAAAAGUGUUUCUUCAACAUAAAUGGAAGAGAAAGAAACUCAAAACAGAGCUCAUCAUGUCAGCUCUCACUCACUGGAUCUCAGAUCAGUGUUUGGUCUGGAGGUCAGAGUUCAUCUGUGAGAAUAAGCUGCUUCUACACUGUGAAUUUGUCACAAGUUCAGAAACCAUCUGCUCACUCUGAUCCAGUGACAGUAACAGUAAACAGUGAGUCUGUUAAUAUACUCAUGUGAACCAAUAUAGAGGUGAUGUCAAGUUACAUCACCAGUAUGUGUCAUAUGCUAUUUUUUCAUAUUUGAAUUACUUCGACAAACAAACUUUGCUAUAAAGAUUGCAAAUUUACCCUGAUAAUGUAAUAAUAUAAAAAAAAUAUAUAAUAAUGUAAACUGACUCCCUGUAAUUCUGAUAAAUUGUCUCUGCAGUUUCAACAUCAACCAUUGAACAUACGAAUACAAAAGCCACGACAACCUGUGAGUAAUUUAAUUUCUAAAUCACUUUUAUUCUUACUCCAUUCUGAAUGU